rnacentral:misc_RNA from 1 species
CCUGAGUAAACGCAUAUAUAAUCGAUAUAUAGGUUUAAGUAGGGCAUGUCAACAAAUCAAAAUUACAAUCCGGAUGAGCUGGAGGCAUUGGAAUGGCUUAAUACGCCAUUCUUUACCGAGGUCUUGAUACAAUACGAGAAUGCACCAGAUUUAAAGUUAAAUGAUCUCAAAUUGUCCCCGGCGAGUGCGCAGGGAGAUCACUAUGCAAGCGUCAUGUUUCGCGCCACCGUGGAGUACUCAACCGUGGAAGGCAACAUUUUCAAGUCCUUAAUUGUCAAGACAAUGCCCGAGCAAGGCGGUCUGAAGAAGAGACUGGUGGAUGAUUCACACAUGUUCCAAACCGAGAUAGCCAUGUAUACAGAAGUGCUGCCCAAGUUUGAGGCGAUACUGCGGGACGCAGGGGAAGAGUGUACGUUAUUUGUGCCUUGUUUAUAUCACAGCUUGAAACCGCGAAAGGUUAUGAUCCUUGAGGAUCUGGUGCCCCAAGGCUAUCAAGUGAUUCGUAACCGAUCUGCAACAUUAGAUGAACUAAGAUCUGCGCUGGAGAAGCUGGCCAAGUGGCAUGCAGUCAGCCACAAAUUGUUAAAGGAACAGCCAGCACUGUUCAAAGAGUUACAAUAUAAUAUCUCCACCCUUCCCAACUUUCUGAAUCAAAGCUUCAUCACGAAUGGUUUGCCAAACUUUAUUUAUAUGCUGGAUGAAUCAGAAGGUCUAAAGAAGUACAAACGUUAUUUCGAGGCUAUGCGUGGAAAUCUAAUUCAACAAUGGGCGGAUACGUUAGGCGAGUACCGUAACAGCCCCCAGAAAAAUUCGUAUUAUGUUCUAUGCCAUGGCGACUUUCACAUCAGGAACUUGAUGUUUAACAACAGCAGCUGCAUGUUGUUAGACUUUCAGCUAUCCCAUGUGGGGCCGCUGGUUAAUGAUUUUCUCUAUGCGAUGUACAUGCUCUUUUCAGCUGACGAUCGUGGAAUGCGCCGCGAUGAACUUAUAAGUUACUAUUUGGAAGUAUUUGCCAAUACUUUGAAAAAGAUUGGUUACCGAGGCAUAGCACCUAGUUUUGACGAAUUUCAGCGCCAGAUGAUCGAGAAGCGACACCACGAGUUUCUGCUGCUCACGACAUUUUUGCCGAUGCAAAUAGCUGCCCGCAAGAAUGCCGUCGACCCAUUUCGGCGACGCACGAGCAUGUACAAGGAUAUGGAUUACCAAGAGGAAGUGGCAUAUCUAUUGGAGCGUAUGAAUAAUUUGGGAUAUUUCAAAGAUAUGCAGAAUUCAAUAUAAAACUAGCUUUAUAAUGCUUAUGUGCUGGACGAUAAUUCGAGCAUAAAUUCGAUAUGCUUUCGUAUAUACAUAUAAAUUCAUUCAGAAAUUAUCAACACCUUUGAGAGAAUGAUAAGUUACUCAUUACUAAACGAAAAAAAGAAGUAAAGAGAAUGUAAGAGCGAGAGCAGGAGAGGAAAUAAGGGAUCUCACAUCUUUUCUUGAAAGAAAAUUUUUGAAAUAUUUUCCAAAAAAAAAAUAUGUGAAUGUAUUUGUGUCAUGAACUAAGUAUUUGUUGUAAUUAAAAGAUUGUGGGAGCCGUCAAAAUUGUAUGCCAUGACGAUGCAAGUAUCAAGACUGAUGAUAAUCUAAC